rnacentral:rRNA from 1 species
AUUGAACGCUGGCGGCAGGCCUAACACAUGCAAGUCGAGCGGAUGAAGGGAGCUUGCUCCUGGAUUCAGCGGCGGACGGGUGAGUAAUGCCUAGGAAUCUGCCUGGUAGUGGGGGAUAACGUCCGGAAACGGGCGCUAAUACCGCAUACGUCCUGAGGGAGAAAGUGGGGGAUCUUCGGACCUCACGCUAUCAGAUGAGCCUAGGUCGGAUUAGCUAGUUGGUGGGGUAAAGGCCUACCAAGGCGACGAUCCGUAACUGGUCUGAGAGGAUGAUCAGUCACAUUGGAACUGAGACACGGUCCAGACUCCUACGGGAGGCAGCAGUGGGGAAUAUUGGACAAUGGGCGAAAGCCUGAUCCAGCCAUGCCGCGUGUGUGAAGAAGGUCUUCGGAUUGUAAAGCACUUUAAGUUGGGAGGAAGGGCAGUAAGUUAAUACCUUGCUGUUUUGACGUUACCAACAGAAUAAGCACCGGCUAACUUCGUG